rnacentral:rRNA from 1 species
UACGUAGGGGGCUAGCGUUGUCCGGAAUCAUUGGGCGUAAAGCGCGUGUAGGCGGCCCGGUAAGUCCGCUGUGAAAGUCGGGGGCUCAACCCUGGAAGGCCGGUGGAAACUGUCGGGCUAGAGUCCGGAAGAGGCGAGUGGAAUUCCCGGUGUAGCGGUGAAAUGCGCAGAUAUCGGGAGGAACACCAAUGGCGAAGGCAGCUCGCUGGGACGGUACUGACGCUGAGACGCGAAAGCGUGGGGAGCAAACAGG